GGCUGGUUAGCUCACUUGGGAGAGUGUGGUGCUGGUAACACCAAGGUCACAGGUUCAGAUCCCUGUAUUGGCCA